AUGGUGUUGAGGAACGCGGCCUCUAUGUCUGCGGAGGCGCUUCUCCUGAGCAAGCAGAUGGCAUACUCCAUCACCGAUGCAUCGCAGGGAAGUGUGAUUCUGUCACUGUCAACUCCUGCGAAGCCGAACUCCUCCUGGGACAUCCUCAAGAGCUCACCGAAGAUGGUCGUUCCAAGGAACACAAUGGGCACCAUCGGCAGCAUACACGACGCAUUGGCCCUUGCCGGCCACUGA
rnacentral:rRNA from 1 species